AUUGAACGGCUAGCGGCAUGCUUUAGACAUGCAGUCGACGGCAGCGCGGACAUCGGUCUGGCGUGCGAGUGGCGAACGGGUGAGUAAUAUAUCGGAACGUGCCCAGUAGCGGCGGAUACUACUCGAAAGAGUAGCUAAUCUCGCAUACGCACUACGGGGUAAAGGGGGGGAUCGCAAGACCUCUCACUAUUGGAGCGGCCGAUAUCGGAUUAGCUAGUUGGUGGGGUAAAGGCCCACCAAGGCGACGAUCCGUAGCUGGUUUGAGAGGACGACCAGCCACACUGGGACUGAGACACGGCCCAGACUCCUACGGGAGGCAGCAGUGGGGAAUUUUGGACAAUGGGGGAAACCCUGAUCCAGCCAUUCCGCGUGUGCGAUGAAGGCCUUCGGGUUGUAAAGCACUUUUGGCAGGAAAGAAAUCGCGCAAAUUAAUACUUUGCGUGGAUGACGGUACCUGCAGAAUAAGCAC
rnacentral:rRNA from 1 species